CCUACGGGGGGCUGCAGUGGGGAAUAUUGCACAAUGGGCGCAAGCCUGAUGCAGCCAUGCCGCGUGUGUGAAGAAGGCCUUCGGGUUGUAAAGCACUUUCAGCGGGGAGGAAGGCGUUAAGGUUAAUAACCUUGUCGAUUGACGUUACCCGCAGAAGAAGCACCGGCUAACUCCGUGCCAGCAGCCGCGGUAAUACGGAGGGUGCAAGCGUUAAUCGGAAUUACUGGGCGUAAAGCGCACGCAGGCGGUCUGUCAAGUCGGAUGUGAAAUCCCCGGGCUCAACCUGGGAACUGCAUUCGAAACUGGCAAGCUAGAGUCUUGUAGAGGGGGGUAGAAUUCCAGGUGUAGCGGUGAAAUGCGUAGAGAUCUGGAGGAAUACCGGUGGCGAAGGCGGCCCCCUGGACAAAGACUGACGCUCAGGUGCGAAAGCGUGGGGAGCAAACAGGAUUAGAUACCCGGGUAGUC
rnacentral:rRNA from 1 species